rnacentral:tRNA from 1 species
CGGGCGGUGGCUUAGCCUGGCAAAGCGCCUGCUUUGGGAGCAGGAGAUCGGGAGUUCGAAUCUCCCCCGCCCGACCA